rnacentral:rRNA from 1 species
UGUAUAAUGGGUCAGCGACUUAUAUUCUGUAGCAAGGUUAACCGAAUAGGGGAGCCGAAGGGAAACCGAGUCUUAACUGGGCGUUAAGUUGCAGGGUAUAGACCCGAAACCCGGUGAUCUAGCCAUGGGCAGGUUGAAGGUUGGGUAACACUAACUGGAGGACCGAACCGACUAAUGUUGAAAAAUUAGCGGAUGACUUGUGGCUGGGGGUGAAAGGCCAAUCAAACCGGGAGAUAGCUGGUUCUCCCCGAAAGCUAUUUAGGUAGCGCCUCGUGAAUUCAUCUCCGGGGGUAGAGCACUGUUUCGGCAAGGGGGUCAUCCCGACUUACCAACCCGAUGCAAACUGCGAAUACCGGAGAAUGUUAUCACGGGAGACACACGGCGGGUGCUAACGUCCGUCGUGAAGAGGGAAACAACCCAGACCGCCAGCUAAGGUCCCAAAGUCAUGGUUAAGUGGGAAACGAUGUGGGAAGGCCCAGACAGCCAGGAUGUUGGCUUAGAAGCAGCCAUCAUUUAAAGAAAGCGUAAUAGCUCACUGGUCGAGUCGGCCUGCGCGGAAGAUGUAACGGGGCUAAACCAUGCACCGAAGCUGCGGCAGCGACACUGUGUGUUGUUGGGUAGGGGAGCGUUCUGUAAGCCUGUGAAGGUGUACUGUGAGGUAUGCUGGAGGUAUCAGAAGUGCGAAUGCUGACAUAAGUAACGAUAAAGCGGGUGAAAAGCCCGCUCGCCGGAAGACCAAGGGUUCCUGUCCAACGUUAAUCGGGGCAGGGUGAGUCGACCCCUAAGGCGAGGCCGAAAGGCGUAGUCGAUGGGAAACAGGUUAAUAUUCCUGUACUUGGUGUUACUGCGAAGGGGGGACGGAGAAGGCUAUGUUGGCCGGGCGACGGUUGUCCCGGUUUAAGCGUGUAGGCUGGUUUUCCAGGCAAAUCCGGAAAAUCAAGGCUGAGGCGUGAUGACGAGGCACUACGGUGCUGAAGCAACAAAUGCCCUGCUUCCAGGAAAAGCCUCUAAGCAUCAGGUAACAUCAAAUCGUACCCCAAACCGACACAGGUGGUCAGGUAGAGAAUACCAAGGCGCUUGAGAGAACUCGGGUGAAGGAACUAGGCAAAAUGGUGCCGUAACUUCGGGAGAAGG